GGGUGAACGUCCACAUUGGGACUGAGACACGGCCCAAACUCCUACGGGAGGCAGCAGUGGGGAAUAUUGCACAAUGGGGGAAACCCUGAUGCAGCAACGCCGCGUGAGUGAAGAAGUAUUUCGGUAUGUAAAGCUCUGUCAGCAGGAAAGAAAAUGACGGUACCUGACUAAGAAGCCCCGGCUAACUACGUGCCAGCAGCCGCGGUAAUACGUAGGGGGCAAGCGUUAUCCGGAUUUACUGGGUGUAAAGGGAGCGUAGACGGUUUUGCAAGUCUGAAGUGAAAGCCCGGGGCUUAACCCCGGGACUGCUUUGGAAACUGUAGAACUAGAGUGCAGGAGAGGUAAGUGGAAUUCCUAGUGUAGCGGUGAAAUGCGUAGAUAUUAGGAGGAACACCAGUGGCGAAGGCGGCUUACUGGACUGUAACUGACGUUGAGGCUCGAAAGCGUGGGGAGCAAACAGGAUUAGAUACCCUGGUAGUCCACGCCGU
rnacentral:rRNA from 1 species